rnacentral:rRNA from 1 species
CGAUGACGCUGGCGGCAGGCUUACACAUGCAAGUCGAGCGGAGAGAGGUAGCUUGCUACUGAUCUUAGCGGCGGACGGGUGAGUAAUGCUUAGGAAUCUGCCUAUUAGUGGGGGACAACAUUUCGAAAGGAAUGCUAAUACCGCAUACGUCCUACGGGAGAAAGCAGGGGAUCUUCGGACCUUGCGCUAAUAGAUGAGCCUAAGUCGGAUUAGCUAGUUGGUGGGGUAAAGGCCUACCAAGGCGACGAUCUGUAGCGGGUCUGAGAGGAUGAUUCCCCCAAUUGGGACUGGGAGACCCGCCCAACUCCUCCAGGAAGGGCAAUGGGGGGAUUUGGGACAAUGGGCGCAAGCCUGAUCCCCCUUGCCGGGGGUGUGAAAAGGCCUUAGGGUUAAAAGCUUUAAGGGGAGAAGGAGGCUCUUUAAUUAAACCCAAAAUAGGGGAAGUUCUCCCAAAAAUAGCCCGGCUAAUCUGUGUCCCCCACGCCGUAAUCCAGGGUGAAAGCCUUUAUCGGAUUACUGGGCGUAAGGGGCGCGUAGCGGCUAAUUAAGUCAAUUGUGAAAUCCCCGAGCUUAACUUGCGAAUUGCAUUCAUACUGGUUAGCUAGAGUGUGGAGACGAUGGUAGAAUUCCAUGUUGUAGCGUGAAUGCGAAAAUCUGGAGAAUACCGAUGGCGAAAGCAUCUUUUGGCCUACCUGACGUUAGUGCCAACGUUGGGGAGCCAAAGGGUUCAAACCCUGGGUUGCGUUCCCGAAAACGAUGCCUAUACCCGUUGGGCCUUUAAACUCUUUGGGGCGCACAACCGAAAAAGAACCCCCUGGGGAUACGGUCCAAAAAAAAACCAAAGGAUUGGCGGGGGCCCACCGGCGGUGGAUAGUGGGGUUUUAUUCCCGCCCCCGGAACACCUUCCUG